rnacentral:rRNA from 1 species
UACGUAGGGUGCGAGCGUUUGUCCGGAAUUAUUGGGCGUAAAGGGCUCGUAGGCGGUUUGUCGCGUCGGGGAGUGAAAACCAGGUGCUUAACACCUGGCUUGCUUUCGAUACGGGCAGACUAGAGGUAUUCAGGGGAGAACGGAAUUCCUGGUGUAGCGGUGAAAUGCGCAGAUAUCAGGAGGAACACCGGUGGCGAAGGCGGUUCUCUGGGAAUGACCUGACGCUGAGGAGCGAAAGUGUGGGGAGCGAACAGG